AUUGCUUCCUGGCCUUUUGGCUAAGAUCAAGUGUAGUAUCUGUUCUUAUCUGUUUAAAAAUAUAGUUAACUUAAAAGUUAUAUUUAUCUUGUUCCCAAACCCAG
rfam:Myotis davidii contig194872, whole genome shotgun sequence.